rnacentral:rRNA from 1 species
AUAAGGGCGCACGGUGGAUGCCUUGGCACUAGGAGCCGAUGAAGGACGGGACUAACACCGAUAUGCUUUGGGGAGCUGUACGUAAGCUAUGAUCCAGAGAUUUCCGAAUGGGGGAACCCAACAUCUUUAAUAGGAUGUUACGAUUGUGUGAAUACAUAGCACAUUCGAGGUAGACGCAGAGAACUGAAACAUCUAAGUACCUGCAGGAAGAGAAAGAAAAUUCGAUUCCCUGAGUAGCGGCGAGCGAAACGGGAAAAGCCCAAACCAGCAAGCUUGCUUGUUGGGGUUGUAGGACUCCAAUAUGGUAGUUCUUUCAGAUAGUCGAAUGACUUGGAAAAGUCAGUCAAAGAGGGUAAAAACCCCGUAGACGAAAUGUGGAAGACACCUAGGAGGAUCCUGAGUACGGCGGAACACGAGAAAUUCCGUCGGAAUCCGGGAGGACCAUCUCCCAAGGCUAAAUACUCCCUAGUGACCGAUAGUGAACCAGUACCGUGAGGGAAAGGUGAAAAGCACCCCGGAAGGGGAGUGAAAUAGAACCUGAAACCGUGUGCCUACAACAAGUCAAAGCCCGUUAAUGGGUGAUGGCGUGCCUUUUGUAGAAUGAACCGGCGAGUUACGAUUGCAUGCGAGGUUAAGUUGAAGAGACGGAGCCGCAGCGAAAGCGAGUCUGAAUAGGGCGUUUGAGUAUGUAGUCGUAGACCCGAAACCAUGUGAUCUACCCAUGUCCAGGUUGAAGGUGCGGUAAAACGCACUGGAGGACCGAACCCACGUACGUUGAAAAGUGCGGGGAUGAGGUGUGGGUAGCGGAGAAAUUCCAAACGAACUUGGAGAUAGCUGGUUCUCUCCGAAAUAGCUUUAGGGCUAGCCUCGGAAUUGAGAAUGAUGGAGGUAGAGCACUGUUUGGACUAGGGGCCCAUCUCGGGUUACCGAAUUCAGAUAAACUCCGAAUGCCAUUCAUUCAUAUCCGGGAGUCAGACUGUGAGUGAUAAGAUCCAUAGUCGAAAGGGAAACAGCCCAGACCACCAGCUAAGGUCCCAAAAUAUAUGUUAAGUGGAAAAGGAUGUGGGGUUGCACAGACAACUAGGAUGUUGGCUUAGAAGCAGCCACCAUUUAAAGAGUGCGUAAUAGCUCACUAGUCGAGUGACCCUGCGCCGAAAAUGUACCGGGGCUAAACAUAUUACCGAAGCUGUGGAGUACACCUUUAGGUGUAUUGGUAGGAGAGCGUUCUAAGGGCGUUGAAGGCAGAUCGUGAGGACUGCUGGAGCGCUUAGAAGUGAGAAUGCCGGUAUGAGUAGCGAAAGACAGGUGAGAAUCCUGUCCACCGAAUGACUAAGGUUUCCUGGGGAAGGCUCGUCCGCCCAGGGUUAGUCGGGACCUAAGCCGAGGCCGACAGGCGUAGGCGAUGGAUAACAGGUUGAUAUUCCUGUACCCGUUGUUUUUGUUUGAGCAAUGGAGGGACGCAGGAGGCUAAGGAAUGCAGACGAUCGGAAAUGUCUGUCCAAGCAGUAAGUCUGAAGAGGAGUCAAAUGCUUCUUUUCUUAAGGAC